rnacentral:rRNA from 1 species
CAACGGCCGCGGUACCCUAACCGUGCAAAGGUAUCAUAAUCACUUGUUCUCUAAAUAAGGACUUGUAUCAAUGGCAUAACGAGGGUUGCACUGUCUCCCUUAUCCAAUCAGUGAAACUGAUCUCCCUAUGAAAAAGUAGGGAUAUAACUAUAAGACGAGAAGACCCCAUGGAGCUUUAAACCAACAGCAAUUUAAUAAUAUUUCUUUAUAACUAUAAAAUUAUGCUAACGGCUUUAGGUUGGGGUGACCACGGAGUAAAACUUAACCUCCUUGUCGAAAAGAUAAUCUUAACCAAAGAACUACUAUUCUAAGAUUAGAAACUAACGAACAUGACCCGAUAACGAUCAACGACCAAGUACCCUGGGGAAACAGGCAUCUAUUCAGAGUCCUUAUCGAAAGAGCUUACGACCCGUGUGGUCAGGUUCUAGGGGAGCGCUACAAAGUCGUUUGUCCGAUAAACUACCAUUGAGUUCAACCGAGG